GCCUUCAAGGAGUUCGACGCAGACGGCGAUGGGGAGAUCACCACGGAAGAGCUGCGGCGAGCCAUGAUGAAGUUAAUGGGGGAGCACAUGAAUCGGCGAGAGCUCGACGCUAUCGUCAAAGAAGUCGAUGACAACGGCGAUGGCACAGUAGACUUUGAAGAGUUUGUCAGGAUGAUGUCGCAUCAAUGACAGCGGAGGCCGACCGACAACUCAACUCUGCAAAUGCGCAACAUUUGUCCGUUCCUGUUCAAUUUCGCUUGCCGUUUAUUUGGCGUGUUUUAAAAGAGCUAGAGCGAGCGUGCCGAUGGGAACUAUAGCACAACCUGUAAUCUAACCAAGAUUAAAUAUUUCAAAA